GCGCCUCCACACGCUCGCAGGCGCGCGCGCCCGCCCGCCCGCGCGCGCCGGCGCCCCCUCCCCGCCACGUGACCGGCGGCUCAGCACGACCCGCGAUUUGCACCCCCGCUACGCGGCGCGGACGGAGCCGCAGCGCUCCUCUGCGGAGCUUGCCCCUCAGGUCCUCAGUCCAAGGAGCUCGCGGUGACUUACACGCGUGCGGGACGCCGGCGCCGGCCUACCCUUCAGUCUCUGGCAGAGAAAAGGGAAAAGCCGCGAAGGACGGAUGGGGCGUACCCCCGGGGGCCUGACUCAGGUCCUGUCCUGUGGUAUUUGGUGGAUGGUGGUGGUUAAACACAGAAACCGGGAAAGAAGAGCGGCUCAGAGGGUGGCGACCCCUGUCUCUAGGGGGAAGGUGUGUAUGCCAGAAACGGGGAGACAAGGGAAUGCAAAAGCCAAAUUUCUAUGGACACCGAAUGUUCGGGACAGGACAUAAUCAGAGCUAGCAGUUUUGAGGGACCGAUUAUAUACUUAGCAGUUCACCUGAAUUAUCCUCAAUCUUAUGAGGUCGGUAACUAUUAACAUUUUACAAAUAAGGGACCUAAGGCUCAAGAGAGGUUAAGUAACCUUCCAGAGGUCACAGAGUAAGUGGCCAACACCUACAGUCAGACUCCAGAGCCAGAUUUUGUCCUAAGAGCCAUUGUAGUUUCUUGAGCAAGUCUUGACAGGGGAAGUGGUUCUGUUUAAGUGAUCAGAUUGAAUAAUUAUGAGGUGUCUCUGAAGUUGGCCUUCAGGAAAUACCAAAAAUGUAUGAAGGCCCCUGCCUUCAGAGAGUUUACAGAUUUUAGGGGCAAUCUCCCAUUCAGGCAGAAGAAAUCAGCCAGCAUUUGAUGACCAUUUGCUCUUUCCCCCAACCGAGUCCUUCCUUCCUCCUCCUACCCUUGAUUCUCACAAAAACCCUGUGAGAUUGGCUCUAAGGUUUUGUUUUACAAGUGAAGAACUGAGAUUGAAGAGUGGGGAUUGAAGGGUCCGGUUCUGAGAGGUGAUUGUGCUUUCCCCUUACCCACUCUGCUUCUGUUUCACACAACGAAAAGUUUUCAGUAAUAGUUCAACACCUUAGAAGACGGUAUGGAAUCUAUGGCCAAGUACUGCGUAUGAGCAGCAAUUAAUUGCUUCUCACCUUUGAUAAAUGCUGAGAAGGAAGGCACUUUAGGCCAUGGGGGUGUCUAGGACUUAGAACAGUAGUGCUUUAGGAUUAUUAGGGUGGUAGCAGCAUUCAUGGUAGACGGUAGGAGAAUUGAGUUAAGGAGACAGCAUGGGACUGGUUCGGACAUGAGCUUAUCAGGGCCCGAACUAUAGAAUGGAGUGGGAAACAGUAGAUUAAGAUGAUUCUAGGAAACCCGAAAAGAAGACUUAUAUAGGGUGGGAUGGGUUUAUAUUAUCAACCCAGGAGCCAGAUCUCCACAGUUUCAAUUUUGAUACUUGGCACUUAUAAGCUCUAUAUCCUUAGGCAAAUUAUUUUACUCUCUAAGCCUCAUUGUCUGCUUUGUAAAACAAGGAUAGUACCUACCUCCUAGGGUUGUUAUAAUAAAAAUACUAUUUACUUAAGUGUUUGGCAGAAAGUAAGCACUAAAUAAUUGUAUAACUGUGGAAACCCGUGAAACCGAGCCCUAAAGAUUAAUCCUAAAGGCACUUCACUUGAAUAGACCCCUUCCAGGACCUGACAGGGGCCCUAACAAUGUGUUCACAGGAUUAUAUUAGUGUUUUAUUGUAAUUUUGUAUUCCUUUUCUUGAAAAUGUCCACCAAAAUUGUGUAUGCUGCAUGCUCCACAAAAUCUGGAUCUGUCCCUAGUAGAAACUGUAGUGUUGUGAAGAGUACAUACUUUGGGAUCAGAAGGUUUGUUCCCAUAAUUUACUAUUGGUGUUACUCUGGACAGUUAAUUCAUUGAACCAUUGAACUCUUCUGGGCCAGGUAAAUUGGAGAUAAUAUCUAUCAGCCCAAGCUAUUGUGAUAAUUAAGUAAGAGUAUAUGCAGAAGGGGUUGGUAAAACUUGGAAAGCACUCCACAAGUGUUUAUGAUUAACAUUAUAGUUUGUUCAUAAAGUGCAUAAGAGGGAAAGAUCAAAAGCAAGGAAAAGGUUCUUAGCUGAAAAAGUAGAAACAGGGUGGGUGAGCUGGCAAAACUGAUGAAAUAAUACAGGUAAAAUGUUUUUCUGCCAAGUUUCUUCCUGAUUAAUCCAUGAGACAUUGAAGAAAUAAAAUUGUAGUAGUUGCAGGAUCAGAAAUUUAGCGCCGAGAGGAGGUUGAAGAUCAUCUGACCCAACCCACCACAUUUUACGGAAAUGGAAAUUAAGGUCCAGAGAGCUAAAAGAUUUUUCUAAGGUCACUCAUCUAAUAAAUGGCAUGUACCAAGUAAUCUUUAAGGUAAAAAGCAUUUCACGGUGGGGUCUUUCAGAAUCAUUACAUCAAAACCAGAGAAGGCAUGAUAUUCUCUAGUGGCUUUUGGUUUUAUCAUGAAAUUCUUCAGAUUCACCUUCCUGUUUUAGAGGCUGAUAGACUGGAUGAUGCAUGGGUAAUCUGCUGUUGGCAAGCUUGUUAAAUGAGCAAAACUUCUGAAGAUUUUAAGGUGUGACCACAUCAUGCAUGAAACAGCCCAGACGUGCUUCAACCAUAACAUGGGAGUACAUGAUUCAGACUAUGUCGGCAACAUAGCUCGCUUACGGAAUCCAGUGGAAUGAGAGACAGAUGGACUCCAAGAGUCAUUGGGGAGAACUCUUCAUCACUGCAGCCAUGCACCUAAACCUAAACAGGUUUUUCUGCCAAGAAUCUAGGGAAAUCCCAUCCCAUCUCCCAAAUUUAUAGAUAACAUCACUAAGGUUUUUUUUACCUGACAAGUACUAUAAAGCUGAGAUUGUGCUCACUUUGGUAGCACAUAUACUAAAGAAAAGCUGAGAUUUUUUUUUUAAUGUUUAUUUAUUUUGAGAGAGUGGGGAAGGUCCAGAGAAAGAGAGAGAGAGAAUCCCAAGCAGGAUCUGCCAUCAGUGCAGAGCCUGACAUGGGGCUCAGUCCCAUGAACCGUGAAGUCACGACCUGAGCCUGAAAACAAGAGUUGGACACUUAACCAACUGAGCCACCUAGGCGCCCCUAUUAAGCUGAGAUUUAAACCUAGGUCUAUUUUACUUAGCCUGUGUUAAAUACUAGGCUAUUUUCAUUUUAUUUUGUUCAAAAUCCUGAGGUCAUAGAGAAGAAUAGAAGGGUAGUGAUGAGGUGGAUAAUAGGAGGCAGAAAACGCUGGGUUGUUUUAAAGUCUCAACCCUGAGCCUUCUAUCUUUUGUACACUGUUUCUUCAUAGAAGACACUUUCUCCUACCUGGUAAGUUGUGUACAGGACAACAUGGAAAUAAAGGAGAGGCAGAUAGACCAACAAGGGAGUAAUUUUAGUAAUUCUAUUAUAUCAUUCAAACCUCCUUGUAAUGCAAUUUAGCUUCCCCACUGGUUGUGAAUUAAUCAGGUUUCAUAAUUAUAUUUAUAAUCAGGUUCUUUCUACGUAAUUAUUGUUUGUACUUGAGCAAAUUGCUUAGGAAGGCCACCUCCAAAUCCAAAUUAAAUGUUUCAUUUCCUAUUUCCUUUAUGGGGGCACAUGAUUAUUUUGGGAAAAGCAUUGGCUUGACAAUUAAAUUCCAUGUCUUGCUGUAUCUCCUAGGGAAGACCUAGAUCUCUUUUAAUUAUUUUUUAACAUUACAUAUUCACAAGUCUUACCAACCCAUGGAUGGGAAGGAAGGGCUCUUAGUGGAUCCCUGAAGUAUUACAGACCUCAGGCAAACUUGUAUGCAGUCUUUGUAUUUUAAAAAUUCAGGUAUUCCAGGAAGCCUGGGUGGCUUAGUCAGUUGAGCAUCAGACUCUUGAUUUUGGCUCAGGUCUUGAUCCCAGGAUCGUGGGAGCAAGUCCCACAUCAGGCUCCAUGCUGAAUGUAGAGCCUGCUUGGGAUUCUCGGUCUCCCUCUGCCCCUACCCUGCUCAUGUUCUCUCUUCUCUCUCUCUUUAAAAUGAAUAAAUAAAAAGGGAGUAAAAUUCAUGUAUUCUAAAUCCCUAAUGAGUUGUCCACUAUUAAAAAUGCAAAAGCUUCAGAAUUCAGAAAUUACCUUAACAAUAUCAGAUAGCCAUAUAAACAUGUUGUGAUCUAAAUUAAACAUUCUCCAUGUAGAAAACUUUUCUUUGCGUUAGCAAAGCAAAUAAAAUUUCUCCUUAAUUUUCACCUGAAGAGGGAAAGCUAGGGUGAGUGAAGAACAGGGUGUAUUUUAAGCUAGGUAUGAAAGGCCUAAUAGAAAAAUCAAGGAUAGAUUUUUCUCUUGUAUGUUGAAGAGAAAUUUAAAUUAUGUGUUAGUGUUUGGUAUGCUUUCCUGUCAGUUUGGAAAGUUAACCUUUCCAGGACAAUCUCUACCAGAAAUUAAGGCGCUUUUUUUCCCCCUAAAGUUUAUUUAUUUAUUUUGAGAGAGAGAGAGAGCAUACCCGUGGGAGGGGCAAAGGGUGAGGGAGAGAGAGAAUCCUUGCCGUCAUUGCAGAGCCUGACACGAGACUCAAUCUCACAAAUCAGGUGAGAUCUUGACCUGAGCCGAAAUCGGGAGUUGGACACUUGGGGCUCUGUGCUGACAGUGUGGACCCUGCUUGGGAUUCUGUCUCCCUCCUUCUCUCUCUGCCCCUCCCCCACCUCAAAAUAAAUUAAAAAAAAAAAAGAGUGGGAUGUUUAACUGACUAAGCCACUGAGCCACCCCAAGCUUUCUUUUCAAAAAGAUUUUUGCCUACUCCUUUUCAGAGAGAUAGCAAGACAUGUUUGACUGAAGAACAUUUGCCACCUUUUGGUUAUCCAGUGUAGUGUAGUACAGUUCCUUUUAUCCCACUUCCCUUUAUUUUCAUAGACUGGAAGAUAUCCAAAAAUAAACGUGUUCAGAAAUGGAGGUAUACAUACAUGAAAGCUAAGGACAGUCCCGUGUAUCUAGGUCUCUAGGCAAUCUUUUCCUGGUCUUUUCGUCUUGGUAUUCUACCCUUACCAGAAAAAAAAAAAAAAAAAAAGAAAGAAAGAAAAA